rnacentral:rRNA from 1 species
GGGGCUAAUCCCUGAUAGGCACCCUCAACUGGAAUGUGUCGGUGUCGAAAGCUCCGGCGCCUGAGGAUGGGCCUGCGGCCGAUUAGGUUGUUGGCGGGGUAACAGCCCACCAAGCCGACGAUCGGUACGGGCAGUGAGAGCUGUAGCCCGGAGAUGGGGACUGAGACAAGGCCCCAGGCCCUACGGGGCGCAGCAGGCGCGAAACCUUCACAAUGCUCGAAAGAGUGAUGAGGGUACUCCGAGUGCCAGUGCUUAGCACUGGCUUUUCUGCAGCGUAAAUAGUUGAAGGAAUAAGGGCUGGGCAAGACCGGUGCCAGCCGCCGCGGUAACACCGGCAGCCCUAGUGGUGACCGCUUUUAUUGGGCCUAAAGCGUUCGUAGCCGGGCCGGUAAGUCCUUGGGUAAAUCCUGCGUCUCAAGCGCGGGAAUUCUAAGGAUACUACUGGCCUUGAGGCCGGGAUAGGCGAGAGGUACUCCCGGGGUAGGGGUAAAAUCCUAUAAUCCUGGGGGGACCACCGAUGGCGAAGGCAUCUCGCUGGAACGGGCCUGACGGUGAGGGACGAAACCCAGGGGAGCGAGCCGGAUUAGAUACCCGGGUAGUCCUGGGCGUAAAUGAUGUGGGCUUGGUGUGAGCGCAUCGACGAGGUGCGCUUGUGCCGGAGGGAAGCCGUUAAGCCCACCGCCUGGGGAGUACGGUCACAAGGCCGAAACUUAAAGGAAUUGGCGGGGGAGCAC